rnacentral:rRNA from 1 species
AACGAACGCUGGCGGCAUGCCUAACACAUGCAAGUCGAACGAGACCUUCGGGUCUAGUGGCGCACGGGUGCGUAACGCGUGGGAACCUGCCCUUAGGUUCGGAAUAACUCCCCGAAAGGGGUGCUAAUACCGGAUAAUGUCUUCGGACCAAAGAUUUAUCGCCUUUGGAUGGGCCCGCGUUGGAUUAGCUAGUUGGUAGGGUAAAAGCCUACCAAGGCGACGAUCCAUAGCUGGUCUGAGAGGAUGAUCAGCCACACUGGGACUGAGACACGGCCCAGACUCCUGCGGGAGGCAGCAGUGGGGAAUAUUGGACGAUGGGCGAAAGCCUGAUCCAGCAAUGCCGCGUGAGUGAUGAAGGCCUUAGGGUUGUAAAGCUCUUUUACCCGGGAUGAUAAUGACAGUACCGGGAGAAUAAGCUCCGGCUAACUCCGUG